GUGAGUGUUUCGCGAUUAACCGCGUAUUUUAUUUGUUAAAAAUGUAUAGUAAGUAUAAUUUUUGUUAGAAAUAUCGAUUAAAAUAGUGAGCAAUUAUCGGAACGUAUUAUUUAAUACGGGUGUUCAUGAUAUUCGCGAGUGUUCCGCAAUGUAUCGCGUCGCGACGUUUUGUUGGUUAUUGUACUGCGAGUUUUUAUCCGGAGUAUCUUAAUUAAAGUGACGAGCGAUUGCCGGAAAGAUAAUUAUUUAUCGCGUAUUAUUUACUGCAGGUGUUCGCGAUUAAUGAGAUUUCGUCCAUUGUUGUAUGAUCAAACGUCGAUUGUGUAUGAUCAAAUGUUGAUUUCUUGCUGUCCCGUGGAUCGAAAUGCAAUGUACAGUGCUAUAAUACCAGUGAAUACGUAGAUUUCGAUCACUGAUUGAGCGCGCGGUGUAGGUUAAUUUCGUUAGAUGUAGUAUUUUGAAAAUUUGCGACGUAUUUUCGCGUAAGUGAAGUGCACGAGUGAGUUUUGUUUGAUAGUGUGUGUAACUACAAGUGAAUUUCGAUGUUCAUCGAUUCUCCGAUGGAGCUGAUGCGGAAUAGUUCAAUUGUAAAAUGGAAUCUGCAGCGGGUGAAGCACUGCAAUAACCUAGCUGGUAAAGCUGAGGGCGUACUUAGAUUACAACGUUCGAAAUUGUAGGCCGUCAGCGGCGCUCACCUUUUUCUUCAACAUGUUGAAAUUGUCUAUGAUCACUCCAAUGAAGAGAUUGAGCGU